ACCUGCCUCAUACUCGGGGAUAGCCUUUCGAAAGAAAGAUUAAUAUCCGAUAGCAUAUAUUUCCCGCAUGGGUUUUAUAUUAAAGAAAUUCGGUAUGAGAUGGGGAUGCGUUCCAUUAGUUUGGUGGCGGCGUAACGGCCCACCAAGACUACGAUGGAUAGGGGUUCUGAGAGGAAGGUCCCCCACAUUGGAACUGAGACACGGUCCAAACUCCUACGGGAGGCAGCAGUGAGGAAUAUUGGUCAAUGGACGCGAGUCUGAACCAGCCAAGUAGCGUGAAGGAUGACUGCCCUAUGGGUUGUAAACUUCUUUUAUAUGGGAAUAAAGUGGUCCACGUGUGGAUUUUUGUAUGUACCAUAUGAAUAAGGAUCGGCUAACUCCGUGCCAGCAGCCGCGGUAAUACGGAGGAUCCGAGCGUUAUCCGGAUUUAUUGGGUUUAAAGGGAGCGUAGGCGGAUUGUUAAGUCAGUUGUGAAAGUUUGCGGCUCAACCGUAAAAUUGCAGUUGAUACUGGCAGUCUUGAGUGCAGUAGAGGUGGGCGGAAUUCGUGGUGUAGCGGUGAAAUGCUUAGAUAUCACGAAGAACUCCGAUUGCGAAGGCAGCUCACUGGAGUGUAACUGACGCUGAUGCU
rnacentral:rRNA from 1 species